rnacentral:rRNA from 1 species
GAUGAACGCUGGCGGCGUGCCUAAUACAUGCAAGUCGAGCGAACAGAUAAGGAGCUUGCUCCUUUGACGUUAGCGGCGGACGGGUGAGUAACACGUGGGUAACCUACCUAUAAGACUGGAAUAACUCCGGGAAACCGGGGCUAAUGCAGGAUAACAUGUUGAACCGCAUGGUUCUACAGUGAAAGGCGGCUUUGCUGUCACUUAUAGAUGGACCCGCGCCGUAUUAGCUAGUUGGUGAGGUAACGGCUCACCAAGGCAACGAUACGUAGCCGACCUGAGAGGGUGUUCGGCCACACUGGAACUGAGACACGGUCCAGACUCCUACGGGAGGCAGCAGUAGGGAAUCUUCCGCAAUGGGCGAAAGCCUGACGGAGCAACGCCGCGUGAGUGAUGAAGGUCUUCGGAUCGUAAAACUCUGUUAUUAGGGAAGAACAAAUGCGUAAGUAACUGUGCGCGUCUUGACGGUACCUAAUCAGAAAGCCACGGCUAACUACGUG